AAACGGCCCUUGUACCGGGGCCGGAGCGCGGCGAGGAGCGGCCUCGCCUCUCUCCGUAGCUGGGGGUGGGGGGGCUCCGUGCCGCUGCGGUUUGCCCGCGUUCGCCCUCCGCCGCGGUGCCGGGCCGUGCCGCACGGCUGCCGGGAGCCCCGGGCUGCCUCCGGCAGCCUGCCUGUGCCGCUCGUACCGCGCUGCAGCCGGGCGAGGCGAUGCUCCGGGCGGCUGCACCCCUGCCUUCCCCCAGCCCUCGCCUUUGUGGCGCUGCGAGGCGGGGGGUGUGUGUGGGGGGGGGGGGGCACGGGUCUGCUGGCGGCAGGGGAAGGGAGGGGAAGGCCUGGGGGCGGUGAGGGCAUCUUCGCGCACGGCUCCCAAAACGCUUCGCAGCCGUCCAUUGGGGCUCAGAGCCCCCCGCUGCAAGCUGGGGACGCCUUACUGAGCCCUUGGGCAGGUGGGGGAGCAGCGAGCUGAGAGAUCGAAGUCACGUCCCUGUCCUGAACUGGGUGUCACAGAUCCUAGGUCUGCUGAUGGAGGUAUUCAUCCCCAUGUCCUCUAUGAAAUCGUCUCUUAUUUCUAUCGGCUGCUCCAUGAGCUGUUCUGGGCGCUGCAGGCCACGUGUGCUCCGGGGUUUUGAGAUACUGCUGUUGCGUAUACCAAAAUUUCGGUGCCUGUAAGCGUGAGAAGAGUGGUUUCUGCUUAAAACAGGUCCGUGGUGGCUGCUUGGUUUGUACUGGGGCAGAACCCAGGAGCUCUGUGGUGGGUGAGGUUGCUUUAGGCAAGGCAGUGGGCAGCCAGACAGCAAGGCAUGUACGGGGCUGACGAGGUAAAUGCAGAAAGCCUGGACACCUGCCGUGAUGUGUGUGACAGCCUGCCUCACGAAAGAGAAGCCCGGACAGGAGGUGGGCCGUGUGCGAGGUCUGGUUCCCAUCCAGUGCUUCUAUCGAUCUCCUUUAAGGUUUUCAACCGAAGAACCCCGGCUGCAGUCUCAGGUUUAAGUCUCGCUGCCCUGUCUGUAGGGCACAGCACAGGACAAUGAUUGCCCCAAAGUGUUCACAAAGCCUAAAGCUACCCCAGUGUAAGAAAAGCCUACUGCCGACUGGGUGACAUUGUAUAGCUCCCAGUAGCCACAGGGGAAAGGGAAAGGAGCAGGCUGAGUGCUCACAUGCCUUUUCUGGGUUUUAAUACCCAGCUGGUGUUUGCAGAUCUCUGGGCAGGCUGAUCCAGCCUUAUGAGAUAUGCUGGCAACCCUUAUUUCUUACUGUGUGACUUCGUAGGAGUUAAAAGUUCCUCUCUAACGAACACCCCCCAAGAAGCAAGAGGCCAGGCAUCUCAGGGCAAUGCAGUUGCAAGAGGCAUCGCUUACUGCUGGCAGGCGAGCUGCGGUUUCGCAGUUUGGUUCCUUUCCAGCGUUUUGGAGGGACAGUUCCUGUAGAGAAGAGGGAGCAAGCAUAGCUCCAGGGCCUCCACUGCUGGGCACCAGCCAAUUACUGUCAUAUCAGAUUAGCUCUAUGGCACAUUAGCACUCAUUUAUGUUAAUACAAAUGCAGCAUGACUGCUCCAUACUAUUGAUGGAACUAUCGUAUUUACAGCCCUGUAAUGUGACUAAUUGGAAGGGAGGUUCUGGUUACAAAACCAUGGACUUCCAAGGUGAUUCCUGCUGCCGCUUCCCUGUAGCCAAUUGUGUGAAGCAUGAAGAUCGAGCCUCUAGAAGACGUAAUCCGCUUUUUAGUUAGCGUCAGUGCGGAUACGCUUUUGGCAAACUCCAGGAAAAAAAAUCCCGUAUCACAAAAGGAGCGGGAAGAGCUUGUGAUUCUUUCCACCUUGCCACAAUCCGGACCCGGUAACCUGCGCCCCCGUAGCUGUGUCUUGGCCGCUGAGAAGGGCUCUGCUGCCCGUGCUCCCCAGCAGCCUGGCCCUUGAGCCCCGCGUUAAGAUUCCCCAGCUGCUGCCGCAGUGUGAGCGCGUUCUGCUUGUCCAGAGCAGCUCGGCAGCAGCAGUCCUGGGUGUUUGUGAGCUGGGGAGGCGUAACGUGCCCGUUCUUUGCCCAGGUCUGUAGAGCUGUCUGCAGCUUGGUGGCUGCCCGGCUCAGCCGUCACCUGCUGACGUGCCGAGGAUGCACCCGCUUGUCCCCGGGAACAAACGAGGCUCCUCCGGCCAGAGCCUGCACGAGUUUCGCAGUCCCUGCUUCGUAAUUAGCUCAGCCUCGGCUUCCAUCUGCUUUGCAGCUCGCAGCAGCCCUCACAGCUGGUUCCUGGCAGCCAUUAGCACCUUGCAGCAGAGGAACAGCUUCAGCUGUGAGUCUUGGGAAGAUGGACAGGGCUGGCAGCACCAGCGAGCUUGGGAGAAAUGACGAGGGAGGAGAAGACGGAUGCGUGGACGCGGGGAAGGAAGGUGGACUGUGAACAUACGUGAUGGGGGGGAAACGAAGCGACAGAUCAUGUUAUAACCUAUGAUCACAGAAAGUCCUGAUCCUCACGUUUCUCUGCUGUCACCUGUGGGCUCCUCCAGAGCCGCGAAGAAAGGGGAACUGCAGCCCCACCAUGAGAAGACUGGGUCUUCUGCGCGUGGCGACUCAACCCAUGUGGGAGCUCUCUUGUGUGAGUACCCAGCAGCACACUUUGCUGUCUGUGGUCUGUGGACAUUGACUGGCAUCUAAGCGACACCCAGCUCCCUCCUCUCCCCCUAGAAGCCACUGUCUUAGAGCCUCCAUGCGCAUUUGCUAUGACAUACAUCAGUGUUGAUGAGAGACAGGAACACUGCCGGGUCUUGAGCUGCCAAAAUAAUCAGCUCUGUGCACAACAUGGCUUAAAGGAUUUUCCGGUUAGCAGCAUGCAUCCACUAAAGAACUUAGACACUCACAUUUUUUCCGGGGACUUCCACACUCUAGACUCCUGCCACACAGGCAAGGCACCUUUGGCCAGUCCUGUGGAAAACCGGAUGUAUCGGAGCGUGGAGAACCUUCACUGGGCAGCAGUAGCUGACUCGGGGCUGUAUUCUCACUGCCGGAGCCUGGAUAACGAGAUCGUCUUUCGCUACAGAGGCAGCAGUCAGUGGGCAGAAGGCUGCGUGGAUGUGGCCCCGGUACGGAGCACAUCGGACUCUGUGAGAAACCUUUCCCUCCGCCCUAAGCAGACAUCACGAUCAGCGCAGAAUGUGCUGCUCCCCCCCUUUGCCAAAGUGCCUCAGUGGCUCUUCCCUUCCGCGGAGGAAAGAGCCCUACCCGGGGAUGCCAAAAAAGAGCUGAAGGAGAAGCUGAGGCUGCACAGCAGUAAGGUGGCAGAGCCCAGCAAGCCACUGCGCCCGCAGGCAGCCCUGACUGAGCUGGUAGCCCAGGAGUUUUCUGAAUGCCAGCUGUGCCGGCAGCACAGGAACGGUUGUGCUGUCAGCUGCUGCACGGUUUUGGUGGAACACGCGGCUCUCAGGCACGGCCUCACGGGGAGGCAGAGGUUCUGUGCUGCACACGGGACCAUCAGUCCAGAAGACAUCAAGCAGGAGGCUCAGAGGAGGCUGCAGCUCCGAAGGCAGAACAGCUCCCCCAACUUGCCCUUUCAGCACGCUGGGGAAAGCCCGGAGAUGGCAAAAUCCAGAACAGCGGAAUUCCUGCAACAACGCAGUGGGGAAAUAGCGACGCCGGGGCAGAGCAAGAAAGGCCGCUGCAGAGGAAGGCUCUACAUCCCCACCUUCGAGGAAUUCAAGCAAAUGAGAAGUAAGGAGGCAAAUUCAUCCGCUGCAAGCAGUGAGCCAACAAAGUGCUUGAAUAAGGGUCUGAUGGCAAACCAGACGCUGGACAAGGAGAGCAGUAAGAACACCCGUCCAGAAGCUUUGGGGACCAAAGCAGCGAAUGAAGCUGCCAUCACAGAGGAUGAUGAUGAUGUGUUCCAUGAAAACAACACCGCCGCUGGCUUUGCCCAAUAUCCAGCCACAUGGGAUGGUUUCAGGACGAGCAGCCCUGAGGUGAAGGAGAGAACCUUCCAGAUCUCCAGCCCGGAUAGAUCCCCGAUCCCCAUUUGCUCUAGCCCUAUUCCGCGAUCACCUUUGCAGGCAGUAGCCGUACACAAAGCUGGGCAGGAAAUCUUCAGUGAUGAGCAGCAGAAAGGAGAGACAAGCGAAUUAAAUGACGUCCUCCACCUUGCAGGGCAGUCGCUGGCUUCUGAAGCCCAGUCCUCUUGCUGUUCAUCGCUGCUGUUAGAAGCCACAGACUUGUCAAGCUAUGGAGCUAAACUACAAAAAAUGAAGGAUGAAUUCAUAGGUUCAGCACUGGAACUUAUUAAGAAAAGCUGCAAUGCUGAGACUGCUGCCAAAUCCCCCUCCAAGGGACAGUGUGAUCUGAAGAAAGACGAUCUCCCCCCUACGGAGGACAGCCAGCAACCCACAGCGAUGUCCAUGGCAACAGAGGCCUGGGAGGAGAAGCCAAGCAGUGAGACAUCCAGCGACGCUCAACCUGCGGGGAAUACCUCCAGUCCCGGCUGCCGCCGAUCCAGCUCCGACAUCGUCCAUGAGAGCACGAGCGGCGCCAAGGCCCAGCGGGAGUGCCGGCUGCGGCCGCACUUCAGUGACCCCAUGCCGACAGACUCGGUGAAGAGGAAGCAGCUGGAGCUGAAGAUCGCGGCAGCAGCGCGGCAGCAUGCGCAGAAGCGCCGGCAGGAGCGAGACUACGGUCCCGUGGUAGCAAAAGCCAACCUCGGCCACGGCGGCAGCUUCGACGAGACUCGCCGCGCCCCACGUGGCUCCCUCCGCUCCCGGCACCACUGGAGCAACGUCAGCAGCCUGAGCACGGACAGCGGGAUCGUCGGCGUGAACGACGUCCGCGAUGACCUGGAUCCCGGCGAGGCCGCCCGGACCAAGUCAGCAGAGGUGGAGCGGGCAGACAGCGGCAUUGGGCAGACGUCGGCCAGGAAGUGGAGGAGCAGGGCAUCCGAAACGCUGAGCUCCCUGCAGGCCUGGGAAGCCCACCGGCCCUGUACCGACUGUGGAGAAAGGGACCUCCCGGUGGAGACGGACGUGCAGAACUGCAAUCAGCGGCGGGCCGACCUCUGCGAGAAGUGCCGCAAGCGCAGGACGGAGCGCAAGGAGUCUGUGCUGGAGUUUGUGAACACGGAGGCCAGUUACGGAGAGGACCUGCGCAUCAUCAAAGAGGAAUUUUACCUCCCCAUGCAAGCGGCUGGGCUGCUGAGUCAAGAGCAGCUCCUCGGCAUCUUCAGCAACAUUCAGGAGCUCAUCGACCUCAACGAGAACUUCCUGGAGAUCCUUCAGGAAGAGAUCGAUCAGGCCUUUGACCAGGGGGAUGACGACCUGAUGACCGUGUGCAUCGGUGAAAUAUUUCUAGAGUUCGUCAACAUGCUGCCAGCCUUCCAGACCUACUGUCUUCAGCAGUCCUCCUCCGUGAACAUGCUCAAUGCGCUGGAGAAGGAGAAAGAGCUGCUCAGGAUAUUCCUCAACGUGUCCCAGAAUGAUAAUACGGCACUGCGACGGAUGAACCUGCGCUCCUUUCUGAUGGCCCCGCUGCAGAGGGUCACCAAGUACCCUCUGCUGCUCAGCAGAAUCAUCAAGGCCACCACCGAGUACCACCCAGACCACGGCAGCCUGCGGGAGGCCAAGAGCCGCAUCGAGUCCCACCUGGAGCACAUCAACAUGAAAACCAAGCAGGAGGGGAACACGUGGACCCUCCGCUCCUUUCGCCAGGACAGCAAGAAGAAGAGGGAAGUCAUCAACAUCGAAAUGAGAGAAACCGCCCUCAAAACGGUGGGAUGGCUGCGGGAGGAAACACGCUUUGUGAUGGAGGGGGCUCUGCAGCUGGCCCAGCCCCCCGACGGCCAGUGGGUGAAGAAAGGCAGCAAGACCCUCAAGUUCCAAAACAUGCAGGUCCUCCUGCUGGUCAACAUGAAGCGCGUGUCCGAGUCCAGCCUGGAGCUGGCUGAGCCAGGGCCCGUGAAGGACGCCGUGCUGGUGCUCAUCAGGGACAAAAACAACGGCAAGUUCCAUUUGCUCAGGGAGCCCUUGAGGCUGAGUAAUUGCAUCGUCUCCACCGAUCCCGACUGUGACGACACUUUUGAACUCAUUGAGAUCAGGCGGGAGGCGUUUGUGUUCCGGGACAGCGACCGGGCACGGACUCACCACUGGUUCAGGCAGAUCAGGCGCUACUCGAGGGAGCUGGGCUCCUGGAAGAAGCGGCGCAACGCGCUGCCCAACAUCAUGAUCAGCACCCCUCACACCCGGCCCUGAGUCCUGCGCGGGCAGCACGCGGGGAGGCUCGGCCUGGGAGCCUCGGCGGCUUCAACUUGCUCCGCUCCGUGGACGACACAGAAAGGAGCCUGACCCAGGACGACUUGUAGCUCCUGCCCAGCAGCACUGGAACCGAGUGUUACGGCCUAAUCCUCGUCUCCAGCCUCAGGACUCCCGUCCUGCUUGUGGCUGAUGGACCUGCACGGAGGGGCUGCUCUUGAGGAGCAGGCCCCUGGAAGAAAAUACUGAGUUUUACUUGUUAAUAUUGCACUGCGGGAGAAUGAUGUGUGAUGCUUGCAUUUGCAUGGAUUCUGUUGAAAGCCAGUCUCGACAACAUGAGAGAGGUUUCCACCAUUGACUAUAUUUCAUCAGCAUUAGGUAAAGUCAGGGUUAAAAUUAGGUGCAGUAUUAUGCAGCAGAGGGGGAAAGUUGGAGAAAAUGUUUUCCACCACUACUCCCCUAAGGACUAUAUUUCAUUUUUCACCUUUGUAUGUUCUGUCAAAAUACUUGUUAAAAAAGAAAGGUCUUUCAUCUUUAAUCCAAAUCAAGUAUGUAUCAGUUUGCUCAGAUUCAGCUGCAUGCACACAGCAAACAAAAAAAGAAAUCAGACAAGAAUAAAAGGAAUUCUUGCUUUCUCACACAUGCACCCCAAAUACGUCUAGAACCUGUGGACGAGCAGUAUGCCCCCACUGGAAGUCUGUUAUUUAACCGACUUAGAGACUGGAACGUAGCACUGCAUCUGAAAUGUCUCAGAAAUGAGGAUCCACGCUGGGAACGUAUUUGUGUAUUUCUCCAGAGAUCAGCUAGCACCAGCGAGCCCACAGACGAAGGCAGACAGAGGCAGACCUUUGCGGAGGUGUUGAAAGGGAGCACAAGCACAGAACGAUCCCUCUGGCCCUGCGAGCACUGGUGCUGUGGGGUGAGCCUGCACAGGAAGGGGGAGCGGUGUCAGCACACUAACGAGGCAGUAAGUUUCCAUAAUCCUCAGGCACCUUUCCGAACCUGGAUGAUCCCUCUCCUGGGAAGUUCCAGGUCCUUCAGUAUCACACGUACACGUCUUACUUGACAGCCCUAGAGUUUAGCUUCGUUGUAUUUUUCCAUUUCUGAUUAACCUGACAAAAUGCUGUUGUAACCCAUGGCACUUGGGAACAGGUUUGUCUACAAGCCCAGGAAGUAAUUAUUUGUUCCAAACUGGCCUUCAUGGGCUCUACAGUAUUUUUACACCUCUUAGAAUUCAUAAAUGACAAUACUAAAAAUUAAUGACUGACAAUACUAAGGUUACUUUUCAAGACUCCUUCCAACUGCACUUACCUUGCUAGUAUGUGCAGGCCAGAAGGAAGACGCCCUCUCUGAAGUACUACGUUAGGGGAAAAAAAUAAGAAAGUCAACUGGUCACUUAUCAGGAAGGGAAAAAAAAAAAAAGCGGCAGUCUUUCUCAUAGAGUUUCCGCAGUUUUUAGCUCAAAAGGCUAAAAAAAAGGACAACACCAGUGAGAUCAGGUACCAAAGGAAGGAAAAUCCAUUUUAAGAGUCAGCAUGUUGGGUGGGACAGCCUGAGAAAACGUGGGGAGAUGAAGAGCAAAUGCUUUAGGAAGCAGAGAUAUCUGCUUUAGGGAACAAAUAGAGAUCUUCCCUUCUAUAGUGAAAGAAAACAUGCAGUGGUACUGACAGAAGACCCUAGCAGAGACAGAGGCUUGCUGUUAUCCCUCGGAGCAUUGAGCCACAGAAGUGAAUCUGAUGAGACCCUCCCCACAGUUGACAGGGGACACACAUUUGGGGUGGAGGUCAUCCAACAGGUGCUGGAGGAAUGCUAUUUUGGCUGGGAAAUUCAGGUCCAGUUCUGGAACACAGGUAUGGGAUCAGCAGUUACAGGCCGUGGCUUUGAUAGGGCAGGGCCUGCAGCCAGAGUUGGUUCGGUCAGGUUUGUGCUGUCAAAGCUACCGGGGCUAAAUCCUCUGGUACAGUCAUGGCUGUCCUUAAGAGAAGUGAGGUUUGUCACGGGUCUCCGCGAUGUGAUCUGGAAUGCAUCUGAAAGGGAACACCAGCUUUGGUCUGGCAGCAAGAAGCUAUUGUAGCUGUCACUGGAGACAGGGACUGACCUCAGCACAUCCUAAAUCCUGUGAAAAAAAAGCUCUGAGAUGAUCUCAUGUUUCCUGCCUGCGGGGAACUUCAGUCAUUUGAUCAUUUGAUGCACAUGAAAAUAUUACGGAGCUAAAGUCCCAGGAAGCCAGAUCUCCAGAAGGUGAGUCUGGGAAUCUUGCACCGUCUCUUGCACUCGUCCCCAGCAUCCUCAAAAGGAAGAGAAUUCAACUCUUCUAGCACCACGUCCAAGAUAGCCCUUCAGGGCUCAUGUAUCAGGCAGCUGUAACGACUGUCUUUUGGGGAUGUCAGCCUUGGCUCCUCAUAAAUGUAUGCUGGAAAUCAGCUGAGAUUCAUCUGCAAUCAGGCUGAAUUCUUCCAACUUACAAUUAGAAAAGCUGGGAACCAAAAGCAACAGCCUGGCAGAGAUCAGAUACACAUCUCAGUAUCACUGUUGAGUCCCCUUCUGUCACUACUGGGAAUGUGACAGAGCAAAAAGUCAUACCAAAGUCAGGCAGGCAAAGGAAUUGCCUUGUUUCUCACGGAGACUGCUGCAGAAUAUCAAUUUGACUGGAGAUGUACAGGCAAUAAAAAAAUAAAGUUUUGAGAAUACCACCGCACAGUUUAGGGAUUCCAGGUAAUUCCUAAGGCACUCAUUAGAAGAAGAAGAAAAAAAAAAACAGCACCGUCUCCUUCAGGAAGCUGAAGGCAGUCCUCUGAGGAAAACCCUUCUCCACCAUGGAUGGAAAACUUGAGCGACAGGGACACGGAGGGUCCUCUUCAACAGAGAGUGAAGAAUCCUGACGAGGAAUCAGAAGACAGGCAGAGAACAUCCUCCAGCGCUGAUCUCUGCUCAGGCCUGAUUUGGAGCAGUUAUAUAGUUAGUUAGUAGUAGGCUCUAGGUGCAUUGGCAGCAAUGAAUGUAACGAUAAUUAGCACCCCUUCAGCCCAAACUUUGCUCUAGCACUACCUCUACCAGCGCAGGCUUCGUAUGCCUGGAAGAAAUUUCCAGCUGCCUGGGAGAAGACCCAGGCUGCAAGCCAGCCUUCCAGGGAAGGUGCCCCGCAUAGGAGCAGACAAAGGAACCUUGUUCCAGCGGUGGUGGAGCCCCAGGCGCUGGGUUCGAACCCGUCCUCCCAGCACAGGAACCUCCCUUGUGAUGCCAGUCACGUCCUGGGGGGACCGUCACGAGAUGUCUCUCUGGGUGCUGCGGGAGGGCUGGCAGAUGAGGGUGGGGAGCCUGGAGGUCACAAGGCAGUCACACACACGUCAGAUCCCACGGUCUGGAGCAGCCGAAACACGUGAAGAGCACGAGGCCUUUAUAGCCCGAGGUCCUUCCUCAGGUCCUUCCUUCACCGGGGGUGAAGGAUCAAAUUUUUUCUCCCCCUUAGGCUUUCUGCAGCACCUUUACAGUUGCCAGCAGCCUGAUGUGGUCAGCAGAUUGCACAGCAGCUGGCGGGAGCUGCACAGGGCCCUGGUGCAGACCGGGAGAAGGGCAGACAGCUCCCCCUGCCAGGGCAGGAGCCAGCAGGCUUCCCGGAGAGCAGGCAGCACACUUACAGGCUUCAGGGUCUUACAUUUUCCCCAACAGAAGCAGUUCAGACAUUUGUACACCCACAGUGUGAAGGUGCAGGUGAACGAGCGGUGUGACAAACAGCGUGCUCCCCCUUCUCUCAAGAAAGGGCUGGUUUUAGGACAGUCAUGUUCCCCUCAGGCAGGGCAGUCCUCCAGCGGUGGCUGCCCAGAGAACGCCCCAAGUGACGCAGUUUGAAGUGACAACAAACACAGGCAGAAAAACCUGCAAGGAGAAAAGCAUCUUCAGAUAAUUCGUGCCUGACCCACGUGCACAGGAGACGCUGCACUGUAAAGGACAGCUCCUUGCAGACUCAAACCCUCGCUUAAUGACGCUCCAUGGAUUGAUUCAGCAGGCUCUGAACAGCCCCCACACUGCAGCACAGGGGCGCCACAUCCCCCAGCAGCAGACAGUGCUUUAAUGAGGGGAGAUGGACUGCUGGCGGGUAGCGGAGGUCAGGAUCCACAGGCAGACCCCAGGAGUCGUCCAUCUGUGUUUACUUUCAGCUCUUGUUAAUUGCCUUGGCAUGUAACGACCUUACCAGCUGAAAAACGGGAGCGAGGCUCUACAGCACCGGAGUCAUCACUCUGCAGUAAAAGGCAGGCACGUUAUUUGCCCAGACAGAAAAUCCUCGGCAAUCCUAACAGAACUGGAAGCAGUUAAGUUACUGCAAGAAGAAACGCGGACAGUUUACCAGGUAGUGUUACAGCUCAGUGAACGUACAGCUGGCACCGCAGGUAGAGAGGAAGGAGCCUCCCUCCGCGUGCUGGCACAGCGUGUGCAGCACUGCGUGGUGAACCAGGCUGGGAGCAAGCGCCGCUGAAAAACAGGGGUUGUUUCAGCUAGAUCAGCUCCUUAAUCCAGUUCACUGCACAAAGACGUGCGCUGGCACCAGCAAAGGGCAGUCUGGAGGUGAUAACGCCCCUUAACAAUCGCCAGCUUAAAGAGGUUGCUGGAUUUGGGCUGCGGUUUGUCAAUCCCAGCAGCAGAGGCAGUUAAACAACCACCCCGAGGUCUGCGUGGCAUCCUGUGCCACCGCGCUGCUCGCCCGUUUCCUGACUGCUUUCAGGUCAGCACUCGCGUUGAUCUGCAGGGAUGGAACAGGCAGUGCUAUAAAUAAAGAACAGUUAAUCAACUAUUUGAGUGCCCUUUUUACUGAGGCAAAGAAGACACAGAGAAAUGACGUCAAGAUGGGGGAAAAAAAGCUGCGCGUGAAUACAAAGACGAUCCAAAAGAGCACUCCCUGGAACACACUUGGGGCUGAAGUGCUUCACAGAAGAGCUGUGCUGGCCGUUGAGUCAGACUCUCCAGUGCUCCUGCACUGACUCACCCCCUCCCCGCCGCCAGCAGUGUUCAAUACCAAACAGGAGUUACUCGUUUAGAGUUCAAACAUCUGAUCCAUUAUGAGCCACCGAGCUUCUGCAGCCUUCAGAGCUCUCUCCUUGCCGCUUCCCACCGGCUACCUGCUCUGACACCCCUGGGAAAGGGAAGGGUCAGAGAAGAGCCCUAAUUAAAUCUGAUUCUUCCCUUCUUUCCUCUGCUCCCGCCUGUGAGACAGAAAGACAACUUAUUUAGGACCAGGGCAAUGCGCAGAUUCACCAUCAAGGCCAGGAGGUCCUACGGGCUCUCUGUCCAGAGGAAGCUGCAGAAAGAUGCGCGCUCCCAGCUCUCCCUGAUGCAGCUUAGGCAGAAAGCUUGCCGGUUCCUUUUCCCUUCCCCAGACUUGGGAAUACACUACACAGCCUGCCCCUUGCAAAUAACGCUUCUCCAGAGGAGGCCACCAGGCUCUCCCCAACCUUAGAAACAGGGAAGAACAAGAGCUUUCCUAGACACCCUAGAGGAACACAACACUGGGGUGUCCCCUUCUCAGGCACUUGCACUUCGCGGUGCCUUGGCCAGGAAGAUGCCACAACUUGCACGUUUCGUAAGCCCUAAGAGACUUGCUCUUCCAGUCAUCCCUCCUCCAGUAUCGUAUCUGCAUGCCCACACCCGUGGCACAGCACUGCUGCCUCUCACCAGCUACAAGAAACCACAUCAGAUACAAGAGCUGGCAGCCCUAGGAUCUGCUGAGAAGCUUCGUUAAGCACACGGGAUCCCACGCCAGGAAGCAGACCUGCUGCGUGACCAAAUGCAUCCAGAGCCCCCUGGACACGAGCCAGCACACAGCCGUAAGGCACACGUGUCCUGCAACCAGAAACCUGCCACACGGCCUCACGCCCCAGCCCCGCGUGGCAGGAGUCCUCCGACCUGAGAGACGCCGGACCGAUGCUGAGGAAACCUCUCCAAUUUCCCUGCUCCCCCCCGUUUCCUGUGUGACCUUGGUCUGCAAAGCCCCGUCUCGGAGCCUCAGGGCGUUGUUUCACGAGCAUUUGGUUUUGGCAGUAAACUGGCUCAAGUUCCUUCCUUCCUCCCACCUCCACAGGGGUUAAGUGAGAAAGAAGCAAACAGCGGCAGAGGGUAAGAACAAAGAGCUACUUUAAAACCUGGCCUCCGUGCCAAGGGGCUCAGGAAGCUACACCCUCAUUUUCUUCAGCUGUGAUGGAGGGAUAAUAUUGUCUGCCUCUGCUACGUGACAGACGCCACAAUGGAUGAGGGCAAACAUUAAAUGUAAGAUGCUCUGAAGAUGAACCUUGCCGCAUCUUGGAUGCGGUAUUAAUAAAUUCCUUCAUAGCUCUCCAUUUUAACUUGUUAUACAAGUAAAACAAAACAAACAAACAAAAAAACAACACAAAAACAAGCUAACAAACAAAACACACAAAACUAUCCAAUCUAUUUGCAGCUUGACUCAUGCUCCACGUGACGCUGGUGAGAGCGCUCCAUUUAGCAGCGUACCACCAAUGUUGGCAAUUACAUUAUUUUCUAGGUGCGGUUGAAGGCUGAGUUAGGGUAUUUCAGAUGAAGCUCCCAGGAAGGGAAGCAAAUAACAUCAGAUAAUCAGACAACAGGCAGAGUUACCAAACGGCCAAAAUCAAAAAACAUCUUUUAUUGGCCAAAGUAACCAAGAAACCAUUUUCUUCCAAUAAACAAAAUAAAAACUUAACUGAAACAACGGGCAAUAUUUAUCAACAAAAUGGAACACUAAUAAGCCCCACAUAAGCUUGAUUGUUCACGUUCAUCCUCUGGAAAUAUUCCUCCUCCUAAACAAGUGAGCUUUUCCUCCUUUACCCUAGUGUACCACCUGAAGCAGUAAGGAAACGGAAAGACUCCAAGUCAUUUAGGACAAGAGAACAAACGCACAGGGAGGUAUGAACCUGUCCAUUUACAUGAACAGAAGAGGCUGUGGGUAUCUGCAAAUAUCUUACAUGCAAAGUAUUUGAAGCUAACAAUUUCCCCUCUUUUGGGGGAUACAAAGAUUUUACUACAUGAACUAUCAUUUCUCUUUUUAAUCCCAGGAAACAGGUACAGUUGUGGCCUAUAUAGGUUGUUAAAACUCAAAUGCUACCUGCGGUUUGUCAGUUAACACUCCUCUAGUCAUAAACUUUGCUAGUUCAAAAGAAAAAAAAAAAUCUUACACAGAGUUCUUAAGGUGAUUGUGUUAAAACUCAACAUUUACUCGUGUUGGGAAAUCAAACAGCAGUCAGGGGAAGCAGGUAUUUAAGAAAACCUUGCACUCACUGAUAGCAGGUAUCUUGGAGGGAAAAAAAAAAUAAAAGAGAACAACGUGCCCAGGUGCAGUACACCGGUUCCAAGGGGGGACACGUUAACUGAAACCAUUAAACAGAGCUGGUUAAUAAACAGUUAUGCAGAUCUGUUCAACUUAAGCAGGCGAGCAUUUAAUAAACAA